rnacentral:rRNA from 1 species
GACGAACGCUGGCGGCGUGCCUAAUACAUGCAAGUCGAGCGAACAGACGAGGAGCUUGCUCCUCAGACGUUAGCGGCGGACGGGUGAGUAACACGUGGAAAACCUACCUAUAAGACUGGGAUAACUUCGGGAAACCGGAGCUAAUAGCGGAUAAUAUAUUGAACCGCAUGGUUCAAUAGUGAAAGACGGUUUUGCUGUCACUUAUAGAUGGAUCCGCGCCGCAUUAGCUAGUUGGUAAGGUAACGGCUUACCAAGGCAACGAUGCGUAGCCGACCUGAGAGGGUGAUCGGCCACACUGGAACUGAGACACGGUCCAGACUCCUACGGGAGGCAGCAGUAGGGAAUCUUCCGCAAUGGGCGAAAGCCUGACGGAGCAACGCCGCGUGAGUGAUGAAGGUCUUCGGAUCGUAAAACUCUGUUAUUAGGGAAGAACAAAUGUGUAAGUAACUAUGCACGUCUUGACGGUACCUAAUCAGAAAGCCACGGCUAACUACGUG